CCCUUAGAUGUUCUGGGCCGCACGCGCGCUACACUGACGCAUUCAACGAGUCUAAAACCUGGUCUGAUAGGGCUGGGUAAUCUUUUGAAUGUGCGUCGUGAUUGGGAUAAAUGAUUGUAAUUCUCCAUUUUCAACGAGGAAUGCCUAGUAAACGCAAGUCAUCAGCUUGCAUUGAUUACGUCCCUGCCCUUUGUACACACCGCCCGUCGCUCCUACCGAUCGAAGAGUUAGGUGAAUUGUUUUGAUCGAUAAGAUUUGACUAUGGUCAACUCUCGUUGUGAAAUUCUGUGAAUCUGACUGUUUAGAGGAAGGAAAAGUCGUAACA
rnacentral:rRNA from 1 species